CUUUCUUAACAUCCUCAAAUGCCUGCUGUUCAGAGGUCCACAAAAAGGGAUCAUAUUCUGUGCCUUUCACAGCUUCAUAUAAAGGUUUCGCCAGUAUCGCAUAAUUAGGAAUCCAUAUCCUACAGAAUCCUGCUGCUCCUAAGAAUUCUCGCACUUGUCUUCUAUUCUUAGGUAUAGCUAUCCAACACACUGCUUCUUUUCUUUCAGGUCCCAUUAUUCUUUGACCUUCGGAAAUAUGGAAUCCUAAAUAUUUGACAGUUGACUGGCACAAUUGCGCUUUCUUCCUUGAUACCUUGUAUCCUGCUCUCCAUAGAAUGUGAAGCAAAUCAUAAGUUGCUUGUUGGCAUAUCUCUUUAGUAGCAGCCGCUAUCAAAAGAUCAUCCACGUAUUGAAGCAAUACACAUUCUCCUGGGAUGGACUUGAAAUCUUGCAAAUCCUGGCUUAAUGCAGAUCCAAAUAGGGUAGGUGAAUUCUUGAACCCUUGAGGUAGUCUGGUCCAGGUCAUCUGACGCUUUGAACCUGUAACAGCAUCUUCCCAUUGGAAAGCAAAGAUACAC